UACGGGGGGGGCAAGCGUUGUUCGGAAUUACUGGGCGUAAAGGGCUCGUAGGUGGCCAACUAAGUCAGACGUGAAAUCCCUCGGCUUAACCGGGGAACUGCGUCUGAUACUGGAUGGCUUGAGUCUGGGAGAGGGACGCGGAAUUCCAGGUGUAGCGGUGAAAUGCGUAGAUAUCUGGAGGAACACCGGUGGCGAAGGCGGCGUCCUGGACCAACACUGACACUGAGGAGCGAAAGCCAGGGGAGCAAACGGG
rnacentral:rRNA from 1 species